rnacentral:rRNA from 1 species
AGAGUUUGAUCCUGGCUCAGAACGAACGCUGGCGGCGUGGAUAAGACAUGCAAGUCGAACGAGAGAAUUGCUAGCUUGCUAAUAAUUCUCUAGUGGCGCACGGGUGAGUAACACGUGAGUAACCUGCCCCCGAGAGCGGGAUAGCCCUGGGAAACUGGGAUUAAUACCGCAUAGUAUCGAAAGAUUAAAGCAGCAAUGCGCUUGGGGAUGGGCUCGCGGCCUAUUAGUUAGUUGGUGAGGUAACGGCUCACCAAGGCGAUGACGGGUAGCCGGUCUGAGAGGAUGUCCGGCCACACUGGAACUGAGACACGGUCCAGACACCUACGGGUGGCAGCAGUCGAGAAUCAUUCACAAUGGGGGAAACCCUGAUGGUGCGACGCCGCGUGGGGGAAUGAAGGUCUUCGGAUUGUAAACCCCUGUCAUGUGGGAGCAAAUUAAAAAGAUAGUACCACAAGAGGAAGAGACGGCUAACUCUGUGCCAGCAGCCGCGGUAAUACAGAGGUCUCAAGCGUUGUUCGGAAUCACUGGGCGUAAAGCGUGCGUAGGCUGUUUCGUAAGUCGUGUGUGAAAGGCGCGGGCUCAACCCGCGGACGGCACAUGAUACUGCGAGACUAGAGUAAUGGAGGGGGAACCGGAAUUCUCGGUGUAGCAGUGAAAUGCGUAGAUAUCGAGAGGAACACUCGUGGCGAAGGCGGGUUCCUGGACAUUAACUGACGCUGAGGCACGAAGGCCAGGGGAGCGAAAGGGAUUAGAUACCCCUGUAGUCCUGGCAGUAAACGGUGCACGCUUGGUGUGCGGGGAAUCGACCCCCUGCGUGCCGGAGCUAACGCGUUAAGCGUGCCGCCUGGGGAGUACGGUCGCAAGAUUAAAACUCAAAGAAAUUGACGGGGACCCGCACAAGCGGUGGAGUAUGUGGCUUAAUUCGAUGCAACGCGAAGAACCUUACCUGGGCUUGACAUGUAAUGAACAACAUGUGAAAGCAUGCGACUCUUCGGAGGCGUUACACAGGUGCUGCAUGGCCGUCGUCAGCUCGUGUCGUGAGAUGUUUGGUUAAGUCCAGCAACGAGCGCAACCCCUGUUGCCAGUUACCAGCACGUGAAGGUGGGGACUCUGGCGAGACUGCCCAGAUCAACUGGGAGGAAGGUGGGGACGACGUCAGGUCAGUAUGGCCCUUAUGCCCAGGGCUGCACACGUACUACAAUGCCCAGUACAGAGGGGGCCGAAGCCGCGAGGCGGAGGAAAUCCUAAAAACUGGGCCCAGUUCGGACUGUAGGCUGCAACCCGCCUACACGAAGCCGGAAUCGCUAGUAAUGGCGCAUCAGCUACGGCGCCGUGAAUACGUUCCCGGGUCUUGUACACACCGCCCGUCACAUCAUGGAAGCCGGUCGCACCCGAAGUAUCUGAAGCCAACCGCAAGGAGGCAGGGUCCUAAGGUGAGACUGGUAACUGGGAUGAAGUCGUAACAAGGUAGCCG